rnacentral:lncRNA from 1 species
ACUGUACAGCAAGGGGGUCAGGUUAUCUUUACAUGUAUACAUUACAAUUACAUUUUUCCCCCACCCUUUCUUCUGUUGCAACAUGAGUAUCUAAACAAAGUUCUCAAUGCUAUUCAGCAGGAUCUCCUUAGUAAAUCUAUUCUAAGUUGUGUCUGAUAAGCCCAAGCUCCUGAUCCCUCCCCCUCCCUCCCCCUCCCAUCAGGCAACCACAAGUCUCUUCUCCAAGUCCAUUAUUUUCUUUUCUGAGGGGAUGUUCAUUUGUGCUGGAUAUUAGAUUCCAGUUCUAAGUGAUAUCAUAUGGUAUUUGUCUUUGUCUUUCUGGCUCAUUUCACUCAGGAUGAGAGUCUCUAGUUCCAUCCAUGUUGCUCCAAAUGGCAUUAUGUCAUUCUUGUUUAUGGCUGGGUAGUAUUCCAUUGUGUAUAUAUACCACUUCUUCCGAAUCCAAUCAUCUGUCGAUGGACAUUUGGGUUGUUUCCAUGUCCUGGCUAUUGUGAAUAGUGCUGCAAUGAACAUGCGGGUGCAUGUGUCUCUUUUAAGUAGAGUUUUGUCCGGAUAGAUGCCCAAGAGUGGGAUUGUGGGGUCAUAUGGAAGUUCUAUGUAUAGAUUUCUAAGGUCUCUCCAAACUGUUCUCCAUAGUGGCUGUACCAGUUGACAUUCCCACCAGCAGUGCAGGAGGGUUCCCUUUUCUCCACAGCCCCUCCAGCACUUGUUAUUUGUGGAUUUAUGAAUGAUGGCCAUUCUGACUGGUGUGAGGUGAUAUCUCAUGGUAGUUUUGAUUUGCAUCUCUCUUAUAAUCAGUGAUGUUGAGUAUUUUUUCAUGUGUUUGUUGGCCAUCUGUAUAUCUUCUUUGGAGAAAUGUCUCUUCAGGGCUUUUGCCCAUUUUUCCAUUGGUUGGUUUUUUUGCUGUUGGGUUGUAUAAGUUGUUUAUAUAUUCUAGAGAUUAAGCCCUUGUCAGUGGCAUCAUUUGAAACUGUUUUCUCCCAUUCUUUCACAGUGUGGCUACUGGGUUAGUGGACCAGUCAGUGGAUAUGUCCUAGUUACCCAAUGUGUAUAACUGGAAUUUGAUAUUCUUGUCAGAUGGAACAAAACCCACAUUGGGUUGUUGGUCUGUGGGAUAAAAACUAUUAUAAUGGGGGUUGGAGGGAGAUUAGUGGCACUAUUAAAGACCCCAAAGAUGCAGUUAUUGUAGUCCUUAUCAUAUUUCUAUUUAUUUUAUCAUGUUUACCAUAUAAUAUUUGUUUAUUUUCUGUUUAAUAUUACAAAAGCUCCAACCUGAGGAGUAAUGUUAUACUACUGAAGAUUUAACUAAAUGGCAGUCAUGGUUAUGGUUGCUCUGACAAUGUAAUAUCACUGUUAGAGCAGAUAAUUAAGGUGUUAGGUACAUGAUAUUUAGCUAGCAGUAUUUCUCCAUUCCAGUUAGAAAAACAGGUCAGAAACAAUUUGCAUAUUCCAGUUGCUACUGGGAUGUGUUAACCCUCCUGUUUCUGUCAUAGUGUAACCCAAAGAAAUAGGAACUGCAUGAACAUCACACAGAAUGUUAAAGAGGUCCGUUACAACAAUGACAUUAUGCUGAUUGGGCAGGAUGAGCAAGAGGUGGAUAGAAUGCUGGAGAAUUUGGUAAAACACCUGUAUUCUGAAGGUGGGAGAUAAACUCGAGGAAGGUCAGGGAUCUGCCACGUCUGUGAAAUUCAUGAGUAUAGUGGUCAGAAGUCUAUUGAGAUAUCUCCCCCAGAGUAAAAGAUAAAUUGCUGCAUCUUGCAUUCUUUACAACAAAAAGGGAAACAUGGUACCUGGUAGAUCUUUUUAGGCUUACUUGAUACAGCACAUUUUAACUCCUAGGAGUAAUGCCUUAGUGCAAUAGUGAGCGACAUGGAAGGCUGCCAGCUAAAGUGGAGCUGGGAUCACAGUAUAGUUCUGGAGAAGUUCCAGGCUGCAGUGCUUCAGCCUGGCUGCUUGGGCCAUAUGAUCCAGCAGACAUUAAGGUGUUAGAGGUGUCAGUAGUGAGGAAGAGAGACGGUGUAGAGAUUACAGCUCCUGGAAUCUGGAACAAGGCAAUGCCAUCUGUAGUAGAGACUAUACACUUUUUGAGAAAUAGCUCUUGGCAUGUUUCUGAGCCCUAGCAGAAACAGAAUACUUGACUUUGGAGCAAACCCCAGUGACCAUGCACCUGGACAUGCUCAUUACCAACUGGAUUCCAUCAGGCCUGCCAAGUCUAAGUCAGAUGUACUUAGUGGCCCAUUCUAUGAUGAAAACGGGACAUUGGGAUUGAACCCAAGCAGUACCAGUUGUUCAGGUGAACUGCAUGAAUAAGUAGUCAUACACCUAUGACAUACACCAUGAUUACACCAGUGCUCCCUUCCUAGUUCACAUCUCUGUGGAGGUCUCAUGUGAACAUCUAAAGGAGUAGGAAAGAGUCUGAAUUUGGCACUUGUAGGGGUUUAAUAGAUCAUCAGUGAAUGUAAGGAUUUGAUCAAGCUUCUGCCUUUGUGCAGGUAAAUAAUUAUUAUUCCUGUACUAUGGAUCAAGAAAUUGAGGCCAAGUGAAUUAAAUAAAAUUCACUACCUGUAGCUAAUAAAUAAGAGGGCUGGAAAACUGAUAGUCUGCCUCAUGCUAUAAUGCACUUUCUCUUCUUUUUCAUGUUUAUCAGAGGAUGUUAUCUUCAUUUUGGAAGGAGAAUCAGGUUCAUUAUUAGAAAUCAAAUUAUAACACAGUUAAUGUUCCUCAUUUAAAACAUUUAAAAUGCCAUGCCCCAUUUGCUACCCUAAAAACUGGUAUCCACAUAUGUUGAGUCACUUUUUUUUCAAUUACUUGCAAAAAUGGAUAGAGAUUGGGAGGGGCUGUGAAUUUAUGCAUACUAAUGAAACCCUAAAAUAAAAUGUUUCCAUGUGCAACUUCCAGUCUUGUUGGAUAACUUUACUUGAUUGAAAAUUACUUGAGAAAGAUGAAAUCAUAAAUUACCUUAAAUUUACUGAAAGCCUGUGAACUACCUAUAUUAGGUGUGAAGCUGAUGAAGUUUCAUUUUGAAUGGAAAUAAGCCGAGAAAACAACAUGGCUAACAUUUCAGAUAUAUCUCCAGAAAGAAGGCUGACAGUAUUGGCUCCACUGAGUCCAGUACUGGCAAACUGGUAACACUGAAAAUAGUAGGUAGAAAUUUACUAUCAUUAUAAUUGCUAAAGUUCCAUUUAGCACUCACAGUUCCACUGGUCCCACUCUUCUAUUGUGCAUAUUCACUCUGGCUUUUUCUGCUACUACUGAUUCAUUCACUCAUUUAUUCCUUCAUGCAAAAAACUUUUAGCUUCCUAUAGGCACUGUACUCUUGUGGAAGUGUUUCUGUCUGCAUUAGUGGUAGAUAAUAUUAAAGUGUGAUAUAGCAACAUUUGGCAGAUAAAGAAAAUGAAACAAAGAGAGGUUUAGGGACUUCAGUGUCACACUGAAAGAUUUGACAUUCAUAACAGGAGUAUGGUUCUAGAGCCCAUGAAUUGAGCAGCUAUGUUGUUUCUCACCAAGUUCAUAGUGUUCUAUCACUUGCCACUUCUCUGGUUUCAGGUAUCAAAGGUAUAUUUCUGAGGGAAACAUAUACAGAAUUCCACCAGGGAAGUAAAACAGAAGGGCAAAAAGAGGGAGGUCUUUGGAAGCCUGUCACAUAUUUUUGUGGGCUUAUGGCAGCUUAUCUUGGGCCUCAGAACACGGCUUAUUAUUAUUAUUUUUUUGUUUCUUUUCUCAUUAAGCAUUUGGAAAAGAUAUAUGUGGCUGAGUCAACUGUUGUAGAAUUGGGUAUUCUAGAUAUAAUGAAAAAUAUUGAAGAUACCUUUAUAUGUGACAGUAGUUCUAAUACAAUUUAAGUGACUAUGUAGAUAGAUAAGGUUAUAUUGAUGUGCAGCAAGGUUAUUUUGGAAAAAGGUGUAAAUAUAAUGCAAUUGCAUUUGUAAGACUUUCUUAUUACCCAUAAAAUAUGGGUAAUCAUAAGGUCAGUUAGAAUUCCUCAGGAGCAUAAAUACAAUAUAUCUCAGCUAUAUGUUCAGCAGUAAAGUGGGCAAAUUUCCUAAUACUCGAAGAACAUGAUGGAUGAAGUUGACUUUGUAGAAUUACCUGAUAAUACUUUAGUAUGAUUUUGGAAAUGUGUGCUCUGUCUCCUUAAGGUCACCAGAUUUUAUCAAAACAGUCUUUUUUAGAUAUGUGAUUUGUGUUGAUGGAUAUGUGGUCUUAUUAUUAGAAAUUAGAAUCCUCAACUAAUUGAAUUGACAUUAGUUCAUGAGAUUGAAAAUAACAAGAAACUUUUCUUUCUUUUGAAAAGCAGGAGUAACUACAUAGCCCAAACCAGCAAGAAGCUUUUACUGUUUUCUAAUCACUAUGUUGAGUGUGCUUGUAACCUUAUAACAUCCUUUGAAAUUAAUUCAAUAGAGUUUAUGAAAAUAAAAAAUAAAAAGUCUGUCACAAUUUGGACAUCCUGGACUGGGAAAAUCUUAUGAUUAUUUCCAACUGGUCCUGGGGUUUUGUUUCCCAGUUGUGUCAUUCACACCCAUCUGCUACAUGGCACUGUGACAGCUAACUCUCAUUGGUGCCCUGAUUUGCUUUGCUGAACAGGGGUUUCAAUUCAAUGUUCACAUCAAGUUUUCCACUGAGCUCUGAUCUAUUCAAUUACAACUUUUAUUUAUUUUAUACUAAAUAACAAAACACUUAUGUCAAUUCAUAAUUUGGUACACCCACAAAACCACUUUUUCUUUAAAAAAACUUUUAUUUACUUAUUCAAUCAUUUACAAAAGCAAUGAAGAGAGUUCCCAUACACCUUCUUUCCAAUAUUCUCCAUUAUUAUCAUCUUACUGUAGAAGGGUCUUUGACACAAUGAAUGAACCAAUACUGAUACAUCAGAACUAACUGAAGUCUAUGCUUUUUCAGAUUUACUUACAUUUUACUACUAUCUUUUUCUUUUCUAGAAUCCUUACAUUUAUUUGUCAUAUAUCCUUGGAUUCCACUUGGCUGUGACUUUCUCAGAGCGCUGGUCAGGUAUUUUGUAGACUUAUAUAGAAUGUGCCUGAUGAAUUAUGAGAAGGACUACAGAGGUUAAGUGCCGUUUUCAUAUUAUAUCUAGGAUACAUACUUUCAAUAUGAUUUAUCAUUGUCGAUGUUCUCCUUGAUCACCUGGAUGAGGUAGUAUUGGAUAACCUCCCCAUCUCUGUAUUCUUUGGAAAAGAGUCAUAAUAAGAAAUUCACACUUCAGAAAGGGAGAGUUAUCUUCUACCUCUUUGAAGACAAAGUGUUUACAUAAUUCAUUUGGAAAUCUUCUGCAUGGGAGAUUUGUCUGUUUUCUCUCUUUUACUUAUUCAAUCAUAUAUUCAUCAGUUUGGACUCAUGAACAUUUAUUUUAUAUUUGGCGCUAUAAUCCAGUACUAUCUUAUUUAUUUUGUUGCUCAGUUGUGCCAGUUUGGGCCAUUGGAAUCGUUUCAGCUGGCUCCUGUGUUCCUUUGACAUACCUCCUUCAUUGUGUGUUUUUAGCACUUUCUUCUUUUUCAGUACAGUACACUUUAGUUUCAUCUCAUGUAUUUCCUGCCCAGUUCUAGAAUCAGCAGUUUCUCCAAGUGACUCCGGUUCCUUUUAAUGUAGAGUGGUGUUAGAAACCAAGAUCUGGGUACUAGUAAUACGCAUUGCUGCUGGGUGUCAGCCCUUUCAGCUGAUAGAGUAACAUGUUCUCUUCCUCUCUCCACACACACAGUUAGAUAUUCAAAGUGAUGUCCCCACCUCUAAUCCAUUACAACAUGAAUCAUUCUAGCUUUUUCUUGCAUGUCUAUAACUUCCUAUGCCAACAGUGAAAAACCUGGCUCCCACCAUACACCAUCCAC